GUGGGGCCAUGGGGUGGCAACGGAGGGGAUGUGUGGGAUAUGGGACAAGCCGACCACAUUACCAAACUUAAAAUCUAUUAUGGAGAUAACAUUGUGGGGUUGGAAACUACCUACAUUCUUAACGGUAAUUCCCACACCGACAAACGUGGAAUCACCACCGGCGCUUCCAAGGAGAUCACCCUCAAGGAGGACGAGUACUUCACUUCUAUCUCCGGAUAUUUUCAUGCAUUAUCCAAUUAUCAGCGACAUGCAAUUGUGAUGUCGCUUACUCUUGAGACUAACAUGGGUACACCCAUAAGUGCAGGCAACAAGAUUGGCAGUUCUUUCGCCCUUACCUUAGAGGAUGGGGGUAAGAUUCUGGGCUUCUUUGGGCGAGCUGGUACAGCCAUUGACGCUAUUGGAAUUCACUGCUCAUUGCCAAACUAAGUGUAUGCACUGGCACUGGCUCGUGUUCCUAUCUAUCGAAUGGUGUAAUAAAUAAGCAACGAUAACAAUUUAUGGUGCUUGCCAUGAUUGUCAUAAUCGUUGUUAUCCUUCUCAAUCGGUGUUGCUUUGAAUAAAUAAUGAAAUGUUUUCGAAUCCACUUUGAUA